rnacentral:lncRNA from 1 species
UGCCCCAAAAUAGAAAUCCAACCCAAGAGACUUUUUCUCUCUCUCCCUCUUCCGCCUCCUUUCAUCUAUCAAAUUUCUGCAACCUCUGCUCUUCUCCAAUGGAGCUGAAUUUUGGACACCCUAUAGUUUUUGAGCAUAUGAACAACUUUCAAGAAGGAACCAUUUCUGUUUGAGCGACGGAAAUUAAAGUGUUGAAGCUCCAAACAUGACAGUCGGAUUCUUGCAGAUUUCGAAGCUGCUGUGAUGUUUCGAAGAUCUGGAAAUAUUUAACCAUUAGUUCAUUCUGAAUUUUUGAUAUGUUAUGAAAGAGACGAUGAGGAACAACUUCAAUGAAGAAAGCAUGCUGAUCUGAACAAUAGAAAAUGGAGUUUCGAAGCUCACAACAAAUCUGACGGGUUGACAGAAAAAUAAUAACCAGUCAUUCAUCAUACCUGAAUUUCUUGCGUUAUACAGCUCCGAGGGAUCUCAAAUUUGGAUAUGUUGUCGUUCACAAGCUGAGGAACAACUUCAAUGAAGAAAGCAUGCUGAUCUGAGCAAGAGAAAAAUAGAGUUUCAAAGCUCACAACAAAUCUGACGGGUUGACAGAAAAAUCAUAACCAGUCAUUCAUCAUACCUGCAUUUCUUGAGUUAUACAGCUCCGAGGGAUCUCAAUUUUGGAUAUGUUGUAGUUCACAAGUUAAGGAACAACUUCGAUGAAGAAAGUAUGUUGAUCUGAGCAAGAGAAAAUGGAGUUUCGAAGCUCA